rnacentral:rRNA from 1 species
UAGGGAGGAAAGGAAACCAACAGGGAUGCCCUAGUAACGGCGAGUGAAGCGGCAACAGCUCAAAUUUGAAAGCUAGCCUUCGGGUUCGCAUUGUAAUUUGUAGAGGAUGAUUUGGGGAAGCCGCCUGUCUAAGUUCCUUGGAACAGGACGUCAUAGAGGGUGAGAAUCCCGUAUGUGACAGGAAAUGGCACCCUAUGUAAAUCUCCUUCGACGAGUCGAGUUGUUUGGGAAUGCAGCUCUAAAUGGGAGGUAAAUUUCUUCUAAAGCUAAAUAUUGGCGAGAGACCGAUAGCGCACAAGUAGAGUGAUCGAAAGAUGAAAAGCACUUUGGAAAGAGAGUUAAAAAGCACGUGAAAUUGUUGAAAGGGAAGCGCUUGCAAUCAGACUUGUUUAAACUGUUCGGCCGGUCUUCUGACCGGUUUACUCAGUUUGGACAGGCCAGCAUCAGUUUCGGCGGCCGGAUAAAGGCUCUGGGAAUGUGGCCUCCACUUCGGUGGAGGUGUUAUAGCCCAGGGUGUAAUACGGCCAGCCGGGACUGAGGUCCGCGCUUCGGCUAGGAUGCUGGCGUAAUGGUUGUAAGCGACCCGUCUUA